GUUGCCUGGUUAUGGGCCGGCCUGUUUGCCCGAGCUCUAUCUAAUGUGCUGGACGCCCGCGAGCGUCCAGUAGGAGCUCUCGUGAUUGUUGGCGUCUGUGCAGGAGCGUUACUGGAGUUUCGGCCACGGAUCGGACACAUUCAACUUCACAAUGCUGGAAAUCAGGGGAGGGGAAGCGCAGUCGAUUGCUGAAGCGACUUAUCCAGGUGAGAAGAUGGGGGCAUGAAUAAAAAUAAAAGUACUUUUUCUUCAAGCAAAAAUUGGCGGCACAGUAGGAGCACUCGAUGUUGAUCAGCUAAAAAGUGGUGGAUGCUUUCCAGGCAGAGGUGUAAGAUUCAGUGACAAGACUGACCUGAUUCUAGUAUUGCACUUAAAAAACUAAGCUGCAUCAGUUUUAAUUUAUAGCAAUUUUGUUGUUCAUAGAUGAAAGUAAAUCCUCUUCUUCCUUUCAAGACAAAAUUUCAUCUAAUCUGAAACAAAUAUUAUCCCUACAAUAUUUUCAUGCUCGGCUGAAACAAAUUUUAGUUUUGUUGGAAUCAUCUUUUGGCUUCGGUGGAAAACAGUGGACAUGAACGAUCGAAACAAUUUCAGUAUGUUGCAACGGAAACAUCUGUCACAAAUGGUCGAACCAAGUUCCAGUUGUCAUCGAUGCGGAUUCUUGAAUUGGCUGCUUGAUCAACUUCUUCUGUGUUAGAAACAAAAUAGUUGUUUAUAGUAAUUUCCCAUAUAAACAGCAUUGCAUGAAACUGUUUUCAGUUAUCUUUCUACAUCAGUUCAUGGAGCUUGUCUGGGGCAAAAGAAAGAUGUGGGCAGCAUGCAUUCAGUUAUCGUUCACAAAAUCGGGUACAGGACACUGAACCUGAAAUUGCGGCGCAUUUAGUUUGCUGUAGAAUACUGAAAUACUUUGCUCGGCUACAAUACAAAUUAGCCGUCUCAAAUGUCGAGAUUGCCCCCAUUGAGAUGAACAGUCACACAGCAGUUCUCCGAUAUAUAAGAGCUCACACUGGCUGAAUGAACAGUCACCAUUCACCACUCACCACAGCAGUUCUCUUUCUCUUCUAUUCUCAUUGCCUGCCAGAGGAGGGAGAUGGUGGUGAAGAAGAGAGCGGCGGCCAUUGCCGCCCUGUGCAUGCUCCUGCUCCUCAUGCUGUCAAGGCCAUCUCGUCAGCAGCUCUCGGAUCACUCCUGCGACUGCUACCGAAAGUGCUACUUAGAGUGCAAGAACGCCUUCCCGAUGCUCUGCAAGGUCGUGUGUGGCGGCAGCUGCAAUGACAACAAGGACCCUGUCGUCGCCUGCAUGGUCGCCUGCUGCACCGACUCUGUCUGUGGCCUGCCACCAGCGCCAUCCGUUUGCGCUCCGGAUUGUAUCCAUGCAUGCAACAAGACGUGGGGUGGCCAUGGUCCCAGCAAGGAACCUUAAAGAUGGAAGAUCGGUUGAUCAUGGGAUCAUACGAUGUUGAGCGGCUGCACAAAUGCAAUAAAAUGUAUCUCACUUCGGUGCACUACUUGUGAGAAAGUUUGUGAAUCUUAUAAUAAAGCCAGUCAUCGAGGCAUUUGGCAAAUACCUGCUAAUUUUGAUGUGUCUUUGAUUUUAUCUUCCCGUGUCCCCUGUCCAGAUUGCAAGAGCAAAAUUGUCUAUCUUUUUGUGAGGAGGAAGUGACAUAUGAGGUUCAUAUAACAAGUAAAAGAAUU